ACUCCAAAAACCCGUCCUCAGUUCGGAUUGCAGGCUGCAACUCGCCUGCAUGAAGCAGGAAUCGCUAGUAAUCGCCGGUCAGCCAUACGGCGGUGAAUCCGUUCCCGGGCCUUGUACACACCGCCCGUCACACUAUAGGAGCUGGCCAUGUUUGAAGUCAUUACCCUUAACCGUAAGGAGGGGAAUGCCUAAGGCUAGGCUUGCGACUGGAGUGAAGAGAUCGGGAGAGCGGA